GUGGGGGAAAUUUUCCUGGAUAAUGUCCUGAAGAGUAUUUUCCAGCUUGGAUUCAUUCUCUUCGUCCCCUUCUGCUACACCUAUCAAACGUAGGUUAGGUCUUUUCACAUAGUCCCACAUUUCUUGGAGACUUUGUUCAUUCCUUUUUGUGCUUUUUUCUCUGAUCUUGGUUUCUCGUUUUAUUUCAUUGAGUUGAUCUUCGACUUCAGAUAUUCUUUCUUCUGCUUGGUCAAUUCGGCUAUUGAAACUUGUGCAUGCUUCGUGAAGUUCUUGUAUUGUGUUUUUCAGCUCCUUUAAUUCAUUCAUAUAAUAUCUAUCCCUUAGAGUAGUUUUCAUUUAUAACCUGAAUUAUUUUUUUAAAUUUCUUUUAUUGGCUUUCACUUUUCUCUUGUAUCUCCUUGAGUAACUUAAUAAUCAACUUUUUAAAUUCUUUAUCUGAUAUUUCAGAUCUCAUCUUGUUGGGAUCCACUGCUGGAGACUUAGUGUGAUCUUUUGGGGGUGUUAUAGAACCCUGUUUUGUUAUAUUGCCAGAAUCAUUUGUCUCGUUUCUUCUCAUUUGGUAAGAUUAUUUCUUCUAAUUAUUUUGAAUAUUUAUUUUUUAUUUGACUGGAUUUUCAAAAAUUAUUUCUUAUUUUUCCUUUUAGGGAUGUGACUUCAGCAUUUAUAGUUUAUUGUCACCUAGCUUGGAUCUGGGUGUUUUCAGUGGUGAAGACUGUGUAAGAGUUCCGUGGUUAUAGAGAAUCUUUGUGCAAUUGCUUUCUCAGAUGCUGGUUGUGGUAACAACGUGCUGCAAUGUGCUGUCUCCUAUGGGCUGGAAUGGAAGAGGCCUCAUGAAACAUCUUGCUCCCCAGUGACAACCGCUGGGCGAGAAGCGUCCGUAACUGUUCCUCUGGUCUCCCUCUCUGGACUGCAGGCUCCUCAGUGUCAGCACAGGGCAGCAGCAGCCCCUGCUGUGCACACACAUCUGCUCUGCCCUGGAUGCCCUGCAGGGUGAGUCCUUGUCCUGCCAACUACCAGCUCCGCAGCUGGAAAGUCUCUUACAUUCCUGAGGCUUUAGUUUUCUCCUCUCGAAAACAGCAGUGCCUCCAUCACACACUCAUUGAAAGCCCUUAUCAACCCUGGAGGAAGUUCACAGUUUCUAGAAUUUAUAUCCUAAUUUAUGUUAUUUUUCCUUUUAAAAGUUCAAACAAAAGGAACAUAUCUCCAAAUUACAGCUUCAGUGAGAAAGUAGAAGGAGAGCUUAUUGGCCUUUGAAACAGCCCUGACACUGAACAAUGGUAACAGGGUAGAUUAUCAAGACUUCACUGUCUCUAACCCGAGGCCAGACCACACCUCCCUGCUAUGCUUGCAUCUAUCACUUCUGUGGCCUGCAUCCCAAUUUGAAUGCAUGGCAAAUUAGCCUGUGAUUUCAAUUUUUUUCACUUACUUCACCAUGAGCCAGUGCUAAGAAGGUACAAUUUGGAUAAUGACAGGGUGCCCUUCUGCUCUGCCCAAUUCUUAGAUUCCACAGAGCUGUGGGCCCCCAACCCAGGCACAAGAGCCGCCUCUUCCACCAAGCCUGAGCUACAUAGAGAGAAGUUGCUAGGGUCCUCGGGACAGAAUCCCUGUCUUCCCCUGAUGCCACAUGUCACGUGUGGUUAUGUCAAGGUCCUGGCACUCAACAGUGACUCUCCAGGAUGUUCUAGAAUAUAUGCCUGAUCAUCUGCCCCAUCUUCAGCUCACGCUGGGCCUGGCCUUGUCAUAGUGAACCAGACAAACCUCAUUCCUACCUUUGCAGUGUGUAUAGUCCAGUGCGGGAGAGGUGUUUUUUGUUUUUUGAGAUGGGGUCUCCUUAUGUUGCCCAUGCUGGUCUCAAACUCCAGAGCUGAAGCAAUCCUCCUGCCUUGGCCUUCCAAAGUGCUGGGAUUACAGGUAUGAGCCAAUGCUUCUGGCUGAGGGGCAUUAAUUUAAAAAUACACCCAUAACUGUGAAAUUAAACUGGGAAAAGAGCUGCA
rnacentral:lncRNA from 13 species